rnacentral:rRNA from 1 species
AGUGAACGCUGGCGGUAGGCCUAACACAUGCAAGUCGAACGGCAGCACAGUAAGAGCUUGCUCUUACGGGUGGCGAGUGGCGGACGGGUGAGGCAUACAUCGGAAUCUACUUUUUCGUGGGGGAUAACGUAGGGAAACUUACGCUAAUACCGCAUACGACCUACGGGUGAAAGCAGGGGAUCUUCGGACCUUGCGCGAUUGAAUGAGCCGAUGUCGGAUUAGCUAGUUGGCGGGGUAAAGGCCCACCAAGGCGACGAUCCGUAGCUGGUCUGAGAGGAUGAUCGGCCACACUGGAACUGAGACACGGUCCAGACUCCUACGGGAGGCAGCAGUGGGGAAUAUUGGACAAUGGGCGCAGGCCUGAUCCAGCCAUACCGCGUGGGUGAAGAAGGCCUUCGGAUUGUAAAACCCUUUUGUUGGGAAAGAAAAGCAGCGGGUUAAUCCCCCGCUGUUCUGACGGUACCCAAAGAAUAAGCACCGGCUAACUUCGUG